UACGUAGGUGGCAAGCGUUGUCCGGAUUUAUUGGGCGUAAAGGGAACGCAGGCGGUUUUUUAAGUCUGAUGUGAAAGCCUUCGGCUUAACCGGAGUCGUGCAUUGGAAACUGGGGAACUUGAGUGCAGAAGAGGAGAGUGGAACUCCAUGUGUAGCGGUGAAAUGCGUAGAUAUAUGGAAGAACACCAGUGGCGAAAGCGGCUCUCUGGUCUGUUACUGACGCUGAGGUUCGAAAGCGUGGGGAGCGAACAGG
rnacentral:rRNA from 1 species